UAAGUAGGCGGUGGAAAAUGAACCAAAUGGGAUUCCUUAAGUAAUUGCGAAUGAACAAGGAAAUGCUCAGCUUGAAAAAUGGGGCCUUUGGCUUUGAAUUGUAAUUUUGAAAUGUAUUGCCAAUGGAGGCGCAGGUGCAAGCCUAUUGAAAGAAAGCGUCAAUGAGGGUGAAAUUCCUUUUUGUCAUUUGCAGUCCUCCGUGCACGGUAUAUAUUUGACGAGUCACACUCCUCGGCAUUGGAAUGCAAAGUUUUUGGUAAAUUCCAUGUAAAGGUAAAUAUAUUAUUGAGACUGAUAGCAAACAAGUACCAUGAGGGAAAUAUGAAAAGGACUUUGAAAAGGGAAUUAAAAGAGUCUGCAUUUGCUGAACAGAAAGCAAACAGAAUUGAUGUGCUUGGUGAGAUUGUUGUGCCCACUCUGUCAUUUAUGUCGGAUGUGGGUGCGAUGGUUCUUACCUUGAAUGUCAGCUUCUAUUUCUGCAAAUCAUUACCCUUGCACAUGAAUGGUAAUUUGCCUGCGGGUAUUGGAAUGUGUGUGUUUGCAAUGAUUUGUGAUUUGAUGCAUGUGGUUGGUGGACUUUGUAUGUGCUGUUUUGCCAACGGGGAAGGGACUCUUCCUUGAGCACUGCAAGCCCUUGCACAUUAAUGCUGGCAAAAUGUUUCUGCUUGACCCG
rnacentral:rRNA from 1 species